GAUGAACGCUAGCGGGAGGCCUAACACAUGCAAGCCGAGCGGUAUUUGUCUUUCGGGACAGAGAGAGCGGCGUACGGGUGCGGAACACGUGUGCAACCUGCCUUUAUCUGGGGGAUAGCCUUUCGAAAGGAAGAUUAAUACCCCAUAAUAUAAUGAAUGGCAUCAUUUAUUAUUGAAAACUACUGUGGAUAGAGAUGGGCACGCGCAGGAUUAGAUAGUUGGUGAGGUAACGGCUCACCAAGUCGAUGAGCUUUAGGGAGCGUGAGAGGGUGAUCCCCAACACUGGUAAAGUGACACGGACCAGACGCCUACGUGAGGCAGCAGUGAGGAAUAUUGGACAAUGCGUUAGCGCCUGAUCCAGCCAUCCCGCGUGAAGGACGACGGCCCUAUGGGUUGUAAACUUCUUUUGUACAGGGAUAAACCUACUCUCGUGAGAGUAGCUGAAGGUACUGUACGAAUAAGCACCGGCUAACUCCGUGCCAGCAGCCGCCGCAG
rnacentral:rRNA from 1 species